UACGUAGGGGGGCAAGCGUUGUCCGGAUUUAUUGGGCGUAAAGAGCGUGUAGGCGGCUGGGUAGGUCCGUUGUGAAAACUCGAGGCUCAACCUCGAGACGCCGAUGGAAACCCUCCAGCUAGAGUCCGGAAGAGGAGAGUGGAAUUCCUGGUGUAGCGGUGAAAAUGCGCAGAUAUCAGGAGGAACACCGGUGGCGAAGGCGGUUCUCUGGGCAUUACCUGACGCUGAGGAGCGAAAGUGUGGGGAGCGAACAGG
rnacentral:rRNA from 1 species